rnacentral:rRNA from 1 species
GACAGAGGUGCCGAGCGUUAGGCGGAAUCACUGGGCUUAAAGCGUGUGUAGGCGGGCGGGAAAGUACCUUGUGAAAUCCCACGGCUCAACCGUGGAACGGCUGGGUAUACUGCCUGUCUUGAGCCAACUAGGGGCGAGCGGAACAGACGGUGGAGCGGUGAAAUGCGUAGAUAUCGGAAGGAACGCCGGUGGCGAAAGCGGCGUGCUGGACCUCUUCUGACGCUGAGGCGCGAAAGCCAGGGGAGCGAACGGG